GAGAGCACAACUCCUGGCUGCAGCUGAAGAAGGAGGACGAUUGAUUUCUGUCAGUUCGCUCUAACGUUACAGUUUGCUCCACUUUGCUCUGUGGUUUAUAUGUUUUCUUCUUACCAUUGCUUGUAAGCUGGAUUGAGUAAGAUGGAUCAUCUUUAAAGGAACCAGGAGUUAAGGCAGAUGUGGAGGCACACGGGUGACACCAGACACACACCAAGCACAUUGUUCGGACAUUCAAUCAUGACAUGAUCCAUGUGGAUGCCGUCCAUUGAGGAAAGAGUUUGUUCAGAGGU